rnacentral:misc_RNA from 1 species
GAUGAAGAACGCAGCGAGAUGCGAUAAGUAAUGUGAAUUGCAGAAUUCAGUGAAUCAUCGAAUCUUUGAACGCACAUUGCGCCCGCCAGUAUUCUGGCGGGCAUGCCUGUUCGAGCGUCAUUUCAACCAUCAAGCCCACGGCUUGUGUUGGGGACCUGCGGCUGCCGCAGGCCCUGAAAAGCAGUGGCGGGCUCGCUGUCACACCGAGCGUAGUAGCAUACAUCUCGCUCUGGGCGUGCUGCGGGUUCCGGCCGUUAAACCACCUUCAUAACCCAAGGUUGACCUCGGAUCAGGUAGGAAGACCCGCUGAACUUAAGCAUAUCAAUAAGCGGAGGA